rfam:Picea glauca, whole genome shotgun sequence.
UGAUUAUAGCAUAUCACUAAUGCACCGGAUCCCAUUAGAACUACGCAAUUAAGUGCGCUCAGGCUAGAGUAGUACUGUGAUGGGUGAUCACCCGAGAAGUCCUAGUGUUUUAGAAAC